rnacentral:tRNA from 1 species
UGCCGCAUGCGAUUGUA